rnacentral:rRNA from 1 species
CGCGUAGGCGGCUGUUCAAGUCAGUAGUGGAAGUCCAGCUUUUAAGGUUGGAAGUGCUAUUGAAACUGAGCAGCUUGAGUGCAGGAGAGGUUAUCGGAAUUCCCGGUGUAGCGGUGAAAUGCGUAGAGAUCGGGAGGAACACCAGUGGCGAAGGCGGGUAACUGGACUGCAACUGACGCUGAGGCGCGAAAGUGUGGGGAGCAAACAG